CGGAGAUCCUGCUCCGUCGCCCCAGUGUUCAGACUACCUGUUCAGGACAAUGCUGUUGUACAGUAGUCUGCACAUUGGUUAGACUGGGCAAGGGAAAGCG
rnacentral:pre_miRNA from 21 species